CCUCUUUAUCCCUCUUCCGGCUGACGGGGAGGUAGGGCUAGACCAUACCCUGGGCCUGAAGCCCAGCCAGGCCGUUUUCUCCCACCUCUCAUCAUCUGGCUUCACAGGCCCCCCCCCCCAUAGAAGGCCAUCCCCGCCCCAUCUUCUUCCAUCGUCACCGCCCUCUAUUUUUCCGUGAGGGACGGAGGUUCUCAGAAUCUCAUUUCUCAGACAGUGUCCAUGAAAUGUCAUUUGUACAACCAACAUGCAGACUUCUUGGUUUUGAAGACACCUAAAACUUAUCACCCAACAGAAUGGAGCCCCAGAGACCCUGGAAGUAUGCAGAGGCAACAACAUUUCCAACUCAACACAGUUUUCAGCUUUAGUACGUCCCACAGUGGGAAUCUGUUGGAUUCCACUCUGAACAUCAAAGACUUCGGAGGGAAGCUUAAUGGAGGCUGCUCUGCUCUAUAUAUCUACCUUUGGAUCCUGAAAUUCCCAUGGCAUGCCAUUGAAAAAGGCAUCUGCAGUUGUGCAGAUGACAUGGAUAUCUAGCAUUGCUGAUAGACUGCCAAAGAGAGUGAUGGUUUCCAUUUCUGUAAAUGUUAUUUGGCUAGCAGCAUAGUCCUGUGGAUUCUUAUGUGGGGAGCAAAGAGACUUUGGAGGCAAGGAGGUCAGAUGAAGCUAUUAUUUCUGCCUGGGCUCCUCUAGGACAUCAUGGCCUGCUUUAGGAAUCUCAUCUCAAGAUUUAAUUCCUCAAUCCAGAUGCUCGGAAUGCCAUCAUCUGCUUAUGAUUUCCAUGUUGGAAAUACCACAUGGUGAAGAAAAUCAGAUGGGCCCUAGGGUAGGAUGCUACUUGCUGUUUCCUAAAGAUGGUUCAUUGUCCCUAGUAAUUAAAAUUAAGAUGGGCAGAUUAUCUUUACUGAUGGCAAAAGGAAGUUAGCCCCAUCCUUUUUUCCUCUGUUGUAAAAGUAACCUACUUUCACAACAGAGACAGACAGAUACACACACACACAGAUUAUAAUUAAACUAAAGUCUGGCA